rnacentral:rRNA from 1 species
AUUGAACGCUUGCGGCAGGCCUAACACAUGCAAGUCGAACGAGUGGCGGACGGGUUAGUAAUGUCUGGGAAACUGCCCGAUGGAGGGGGAUAACUACUGGAAACGGUAGCUAAUACCGCAUACCAUCGGAUGUGCCCAGAUGGGAUUAGCUAGUAGGUGGGGUAAAGGCUCACGUAGGCGACGAUCCCUAGCUGGUCUGAGAGGAUGACCAGCCACACUGUAACUGAGACACGGUGCAGACGCCUACGUGAGGCAGCAGUGGGGAAUAUUGCACAAUGGGCGCAAGCCUGAUGCAGCCAUGCCGCGUGUAUGAAGAAGGCCUUCGGGUUGUAAAGUACUUGCAGCGUGGAGGCGUUACCCGCAGAAGAAGCACCGACUAACUCCGUGCCAGCCGCCGCGGUAAUUC